CCAGCUCCUAGCUACGGGAGUACAUAGGCCUCAAAUAAUGUGAGACUACCCCCUAAAUUUAAGCAU
rnacentral:rRNA from 1 species